GGAAUUUUGUUUCAAUAAAAUCUCUUAAAUCUCCUGGGCUACAUCACAACCUUAAAGAAAAAAAAUUUUUUAAGCUUCAACUAUAUAAAAUUGAGGUGACUCUUCAUGUCACAUUCUUCACAGGAUUCUUGUAAAGCCCUUCUUUUAUUCUUUUACUUCUUCAUUCAGCAACUCUUCAACUUCCUUCCUGUCAAAUGCAAGUACUUUUAAUAUGUCUUUCCAGCUAACCUUUUAUAUAUUCAUUUAGCAAUACAUUUAUCUUUACAAAUAAAUGGUGUGGAAAGUAGUGUUUUUUGAAAUUUUUAUCGGUCGUAGUACACCAUAUAUUUUUCUAUUUCUUUUGAGUCGGAAAAAAUAAUAUGGAAAUCUAGUUCAUUACUCUUGAUUGCUGCAAGGUAUUCCAUCACAGGCAUAUACCACAUUUCACUUUCGAAUUUCUAUUAAGAAUGAAAACCUAAGGGGCACCUGGGUGACUCAAUCGGUUAAGCAUUUGACUUUUGGGUUUGGCUUAGGUCAUGAUCUCAGGGUUCUGGGAUCAGGCCAGGCCCCCAGUCAGGCUCCGCACUUAGCAGAGAGUCUCCUUGAGGAUUCUCUCUCCCUCUCCCUCUGCCCCUCCCUCUGCUCACAAGUGCUCUCUCUUUCUCAAAUAAAUAAAUAAAUCUUUAAGAAGAAAACCUAAGUUUCUUGUAAUUUCUUGUCACUGCAUAAAUGUCUUAUUGAAGAGAUUUCCAAAUGAUCUUCACUUUCUGGUAUUCAUGCCCUUGUAUAAUCUGAUUCCACAUUGUAUCAGGGUUAGAACCAUAGCCUGCGAAUUCCCAGUCUAGGUCAUAAAGUACAUUUCUGCUUCCACCUUGUUUUCUUGGAUCAUUUGCUCUAUGUAAACUCAACUAUUGUGUUAUGAGGACACUCUAGCAGCCAUAUGACUGCAGCAUCUUAGAAGUGGAUCCUACAACCCAAGUUAAACAUUUGGAUGAUUAGAGCCCCAGCCAUCUGGACUACAAUUUCAUGAAAGACCCUGAGCCAAACUACCCAGCUAAGCCACUCCUGAGCUGUUUGGUUUGUUGGGUUUUUUGUUGUUGUUGUUGUUUGUUUUUUGAUUGAAGGAGAGUUGAUAUAUUAGUGUCAAGUGUACUUCAUAGUGAUUUGAUAUUUUUAUACAGUAUGAAAUGAUUCCCUCAAUAAAUUGUAGUUACUAUCUGCCACCAUACAGUUAUUUUAAUAUUAUUUAUUAUAUUACCUAUGCUGUAUAUUAUAUCCUCUGACUUUAUAACUAGAAGUUUGUACCUCUCGAUCCCUUUCAUCUAUUUCAGUCCCCACAACCCCUCCCUCUUCUGAUGACAGUAUGGUUCCUGUACCUAUGAGUCUGUUUCUAUUUUGUUUU
rnacentral:lncRNA from 1 species